UACAGAGGUCCCAAGCGUUGUUCGGAUUCAUUGGGCGUAAAGGGUGCGUAGGUGGCGCCGUAAGUCGGGUGUGAAAUUUCGGAGCUUAACUCCGAAACUGCAUUCGAUACUGCGGUGCUUGAGGACUGGAGAGGAGACUGGAAUUCAUGGUGUAGCAGUGAAAUGCGUAGAGAUCAUGAGGAAGACCAGUGGCGAAGGCGGGGUCUCUGGACAGUUCCUGACACUGAGGCACGAAGGCCAGGGGAGCAAACGGG
rnacentral:rRNA from 1 species